AGUUGAUCAUUGACGGAAGGAGCGAAAGCAAAGGCUGUGGGGGAAGCUUGGCUACUGGCUUGUUCCCCGUGGUGCACUCAGCCCUGAUUAUCACACAACGCAGGACCACUCGCUCAGAGGUGGCGCCAUAUCCAGUGGACUGGGCUUUCUCACACCAAUCAUUAAGCAAGAAGACAGCCCACAGACCUGCCCAGAAGCAAUCCGAUGGAGGUUCUAAGGAGAUAACCCAGUUUCGUAAUGGAAAUGAGGCUGGUUGCAGACCUGGAGGGAAGGAUCUGAUGCAGGUUGAAGCAAAUUCAUAAACACAUCCAGACCAACACAUCCACAGAGCUCAACUACAAGACCAGUCUACAUCCGCCAGUCUCCUCUCGCUUUUCUUUGAAUAACCUCUUCAAACAUGGAUCAAGGAACUCAAUGACUAUCUGGUGACUCAUUUGGCGACACAGAGCUAUCUUCUUUAGUCAGGCAACAUGGGGGAGCCAUCAAUCUCCUCACAAUGUCAUAAUGCAGCCCUGGAACCCCACAAAGAGCAUUCACACCUAGGACCUCACUUGACCAUGACUGCAUUUCUGUAAGGGACAGAUACCAUUAUUUCCAUGCCGAAGAUCAGGAAAAUGUCAUCCUCGUCUUUAUGAAUAGCACAGGAGUGAUCCACCAUUCAGGAAGGUCCACAGUAGUGGGGUCCAUCCAGUCUCCACCAUUGUCCAGCAGAGAAGUGCAGGGGAGUGAAUGAUGGCCGUGCCCCUCCCUCCACCUCUCUGCCUCCCACCACCAUACUUAUGAAAGAGCUUCCAUCCCUUUGUCUUCUUGGAGGGAUGGCUGUGGCCUUUUUGUUGGUGGAGGAAACACUGAAGUGUAGAAACAAUGGCUGUUUGUUUUAGGAGACAGUUUUAUUUAUUAUCUUAGAGUUUCACCUAGGACUGUCUCUAUGUAGGAGAGGCUCUGAGCCAGGACCUAGCCUGGGAUCAGCCUUGUAUGACUCUGUCUACCCCUCAAUAAACGUGGAUUGCUUGCUCCCUGUCA
rnacentral:lncRNA from 1 species